UACGUAGGGUGCAAGCGUUAUCCGGAUUUAUUGGGCGUAAAGGGUUCGUAGGCUUUCUGGUCAGUCAUGCUUCAAAUACCGAGGCUCAACUUCGGGAAGGGGUGUGAUACUACCAGAAUUGGAGGAUUCAGGGGCUAUUGGAACUGUCGGUGUAGGGGUGAAAUCCGUUGAUAUCGACAGGAACACCUAGGGCGAAGGCGAAUAGCUGGGAAUCUCUCGACGCUGAGGAACGAAAGCCAGGGUAGCGAAACGG
rnacentral:misc_RNA from 1 species